UCCUCCUGCACUCUCUGCAGCCUCGGAUUUGUGUGAACGCCACAUCCCUCCUGGGGGCUUCCUCCCGACCUGCAGGUGCCCAGGAGCCCUCCCGCACCCCUGAAGAGGAAGGUCCUCAGAGCUUCAGUCCCCUGCUUCACUCCAGGUUCACAUCCCUUUGGUGGCUGGCCCAGAUCUUCCUGCUCCAACACUGCCUUUCUGGGACCUCAGUCUCCACCUUCCGUCCAGCAGCUCUCCGUGAUACCUGAGCUUCCCAAACCCAGCCCUGGCUGACUUUAAGCUUAGAACUAGAGCCUCCUUCCCUUGGACAUCUCACCUGGGCUGCUUCUCUUGCUCUCUAACCGCCACCCGCAGCCCACCCUGCUUCUAGCGGCCACGGAACCAGGGUGCCCUCAUAUUCCUGCUACUCCCUUCUUUCCUGCUGUCACAGCCUGAAGAUAAAUCCUCAUUUAGGAAGACCAGGAUGGAGUUUACAGGGCCUGGGGAACUAGUGAACCCUGAAUCCAGAGAAGCAGGGAGGGUGCUCUGGGGGAGCCUCAGCCCAAGGGCAGGUUGCAGGGGGUUCUGCUGGAGUGUUCCCCCUCUCUGGUGCUGCAAUAGUCCAGCCAAGAGGAAGGAGCCCGGGGUCCAGACAGGAGCGUCCCACUUAGUUUCUCCUCUGUCACUAACUAGGAGUGUGACUUUGGUUCAGUCACUUACCCUCUUUGAGUUACGUUUCUUAGUCUGCUCAGAAAGUUCUGCCCUUCUAUAAGAGUUGGAUUAGUUUAAAGCUCCUUUGCCUGGUGCUGCGCCCUCAGCUCCUGGGGAACUUGGAGAAAAUGCACAAACGGGGCAAGGCCCAUGAAUGUGCUCACAUCUUUAAAGCUCCCAAAGUGAUUCUCAUCUGUGAGACACUGAACCAGGUAAUUUGAGUUCCUGUCUGGCCUGAGCCUUGAUUCCAUCACAUGUGGACUUCCACAAUUAGAGGUACUCCCAGUUUUUAUCAGCCCAUUGACUCCAAACCCCUGUCUACUUAUCCUACUGUGAUAUUGCUUUCACCUUCAUUGUGCCACUCUUCACUUUUCUACUCAAGAACCAUCAAUAGCUCGUAUUUAUUUUUAAUUGAGUCAGGGUCUUGCUCUGUCUCCCAGGCUGGAGUGCAACGGCAUGAUCACUGCAGCCUCAAACUCCUGGGCUCAAGUGAUUCUCUCACCUCAGACUUCCAAGCAGCCAGGACUACAGGUGUGCACUGCCAUGCCUGGCUCAUAUUUUUUAUGUUUUCAGACAUGGGGUCUUGCUGUGUUGCCCAGGCUGGUCUUGAACUCCUGGCCUCAAGCAAUUCUCCCACCCAGCUUCCUGAGCCACUGGGAUUAUAGACAUGAGCCACAGUGCCCAGCCCAGCACCCUAUUAUUUAUAAGAAAAAACAGGUUCUAGCUGCAUCUGAGGCUCACCCCAACCUAGUCCAACUUUCUUUCUCCCAGGCAUGGACCUUCCACUUCAGCCAAGUUGCUGUCCUUCCUUUUCCUGCUGCAAGGUCUUCUCAGCCUGGAAUGUCUUCCCAUCCUCCACCACACCCUCUUCAGAACUGACAUCUACACCUUUCUCAAAAUGCAGCACAGAUUAAUGUUUUUUGACAAAUUCCCAAUGUAUGCGGAUCUUUUAGCAUAAACUCCUAUAGCACGUUCUGUUAACACUUUUGUACUUAUUUGUAACUUGCCUUUAUACUGUUCUUUUAAUUCUUUGUUCUGGCUCAUAUUAAUGUCAUCACAAACAGA